rnacentral:rRNA from 1 species
AGAAUUUUGCAAUACGUAGAUUCGAAAGACCAAAGAUUUAUCGGCAAAGGAUGACCGCGUAAUUAGCUGUGGUGAGGUAAAAGCUCACCAAGGCGACGAUCCUAGUGGCUGAAGGAGAUAGCCACACUGGGACUGAGACACGGCCCAGAUCCUACGAGGCAGCGUGGGAUAUUGGACAAUGGGCGAAAGCCUGAUCAGCAAUCCGCUGAGUGAUAGGCUUAGGGUUGUAAAGCUCUUUUACCGGGAUGAAAUGACAGACCGGGAAUAGCUCCGGCUAACUCCGUGCCACAGCCGCGUAAUACGGAGGGGCUAGGUUUCGGAAUUACUGGGCGUAAGAGUACGUGGCGGUGAUUCAAGUCGAGUGAAGCUGGAGCUCAACUCCGAACUGCCUUGAAACUAGAUCGCUAGAACUGGGAGGUAGUGGAAUUCGAGUGUAGGGUGAAAUUCGUAGAUAUUCGGAAAACCCAGUGCGAAGGGACUAACUGACAUGUAUUGACGCUGAGGUACGAAACUGGGAGCAACGGAUUAGAUCCCUGGUAGUCCACGCCGUAAACGA